AGAAGCAUCCCGGCGAGAGCUGGGAGCACACGGUGAAGGAGAUCCCAGGGUCCCUGCUGCGCCGCGCCCACAGGCGCCCGGCAGAGACUGACAGGUGAAGCCAGGCAGUGUGGCCACAGCUCCCAGAGGCUGCGUCCGGCCUUUCUGCACCCGCAGGGGCGUCUGUGCUGAAGAAAUGGUGCUGCAGGUACGGAGGGCGCGGUGGGAGUGGGAACUGUGUUUGCCCCCUGGAACUUACUUUCUGGCUGGAGCACCACUUAAGAUUCAUCUUGGGUAAAAAACCAGAUCGGGCGCACCCAAGAUGGCCGAAUAGGAGCAGCUCCAGCCUCCAGCUCCCAGCGCCAGCGACACAGAAGACGGGUGAUUUCUGCAUUUUCAACGGAGGAGUGACUUUCUACAGCUCUGCCACUGAGGAAGACAAGGACUUUGAAAAUAGUUUUAUUUUUCCUUUUUGGUCACAAGGGCCUGGCAAAGGGACAGAGCCCAGGGUUGGUACCAUGUGAGGGCAGCAGGCCCAGAGUUCUCCCUGCUCUGCCCACAAAGAUGUGUGACCCUGAGCAGGUCGUUCUACCCCUGCAGUUCUCAUUUUCAAAUCUUAUAGCAAAACAACCUGUAUAACUGGAUUAAAAAAUGGACAAAGGACUUGAAUAGACAUUUCUCCCAGGAAGAUAUACAAAUGGCCAACAAGCAUACAAAAAAGGGCUCAGCAUCACCCAUCAUUAGAGAAAUGCAAGUCAAACCCACAAUGAGAUAUCACUUUACACCUGUAAAGAUGGCUAGUAUCAAACAAGACCCAAAAACCAAAGGAAAACCAUGAAAGAUAAAGGUUGGCAAAGCUAUGCAGAAAUCGGAAAAUUUAGACUGUGUUGGUGGGAAUAUAAAAUGGUGCAGCCACCAUAGAAAACAGGGUGGAAGUUCCCCCCAAAUUAAAAUAGAACUAUCAUGUGAUCCAUCAAUCCCACUGCUGGCUAUUAAUCUAGGAGAACUGAAGUCAGGGUCUCGAAGAGAUGUCCGCACCACCAUCUUCAUUCAGCAUUGCUCACGACGCCAAGACGUGCAAGCAAACUAACUGUCCGUCAACAAAUGAGUGGAUGCAGAAAGUGUGGCUUCUGUGUGUUUUUACAGCAGUCUGAGUGAACUAAGACACUAGUGAUGGGCUCUUACAGGCAUCACCUUAUUACGUGCCAGCACUCCUCCAUUAUAAACCCAUUUCAAAGUUGUGGCUUCAAGAGGUUACAUUAAGAAACUCAUUCAAGAUCGGGUGGGCAGGCUGCUCUCUGGAAGUCCAAGAUCGAGGUGCCAGGAUAUUCAGCGUCUGCUGAGGGCCUGUGCCUGUGUGUGUGUGUGUGUGUGUGUGUGUGUGUGUGUGUACACACAGUGGAAUAUUACUCAGCUCUGAAAAAAGAAGGGAAUUCUGCCAUUUGUGGCAACCUGGAUGAAUCCUGAGGACAUUAUGCUGAUUGAAAUAAGCCAGACACAGAAAGGCAAACGCUUCGUGAUUUCACUUAGGAGACGUCUAAAACAGUCAGUUCAUAGAAACGGAGUAGAAUAGUGGUUGUCAGAAGCCAGAGGAGGGAGAAAUGGGGAGUUUCUGUUUAAAAGCUGUAAUGUUUCUGUUAUGCAAAAUGAAAAGCUUCUGGAGGUCUCCUGUGU
ensembl:lncRNA